rnacentral:rRNA from 1 species
UACGAAGGUUGCAAGCGUUACUCGGAAUUACUAGGCGUAAAGGGCAGGUAGGUGGUUCGGUAAGUCUAUUGUGAAAGCUCCCGGCUUAACUGGGAGAGGCCAAUGGAUACUGCCGAGCUUGAGUAUAGGAGAGGUUACUGGAAUUCCCGGUGUAGCGGUGAAAUGCGCAGAUAUCGGGAGGAACACCAAUGGCGAAAGCAGGUAACUGGACUAUUACUGACACUCAACUGCGAAAGCUAGGGGAGCAAACAGG